GCUGGGCAUGGCGGCGCAUGCCUGUAGUCCCAGCUACUUGGGAGGCUGAGGCAGGAGAAUUGCUUGAACCCAGGAGACAGAGGUUGCGGUGAGCCGAGAUCGUGCCAUUGCACUCUAGCCUGGGUAACAAGAGUGAGACUCUGUCUCAA
ensembl:misc_RNA Metazoa_SRP Metazoan signal recognition particle RNA